AGCUAGUCCAAAGGCAGUGAGCUAUCUUAAUUAUUGUUCACAGUCACAGUUACAGGAGGAAUUUUUUGUUCUCUUUCUUCUUUUGUCACUAUUGCACUUGACUAGUUACAU
rnacentral:Y_RNA from 1 species